rnacentral:lncRNA from 1 species
CCCAAUAUAAUUUAGGCUCCAUGCUUUGAUUCUUCUGCUACCUAAUCAGUAAGAAAUGGAUGAAAUACCAAAAAGAUUCAAGCAUCUUAAUAAUAGUAAAUUUUACAGGCCCAGAAUAUAUUGACAAAACAUUGGAAUUUUCACCUGUUGUUUCCUUGGGAUAGAUAUUCCAGGCAAUAGUCCAGAACUCGGCUACCAUCAACACUGGAGAGAUGGCAGACUUCCUGUCCCUUCUCAUACCCUGUUUGAAUGACUUUGGUGGUGUUUCUUCAUCGGCCAAGUUUCUACAUUAAGGCUGAAUACGUGGCUGGCACAGGAGCUGCCUUCUGGACAAGAGUUCUCUCCUUGCUUGUCCAGCUGCAGGGAAGAUACUUUACCUGCUGUCUCUGCAGAAGAUGAUGCAAAAGAGAACCCAAGGACAUUUUCAGUGGAAGAUAAUGCACAGAAGGUGUACAAUACCACUGGUUGUCAAAGAAGCGAAGCCGGGGUCCCUUCUAGUGGGUGCAUCAGAAGUUAGAGAGAUGAAAAUCCAAAAAAUCCUAUAGCACCGCUUCCUGUGAUCUCUAACCCAUCACAAUUGAAAUGACAAGCGUUGAAAUGGGAGCCUCACGGUGGCGCCCUCUGCCUUUGCCGGCCUCUUCUGCAGCAGGGAGCGGCUCUCGCUGCCCAGUGCCAGUUCUCAAACUUGAAUGAUGCCUGGACCCCUUUAAAAAAAGAUGGAAUCAUCUUCACACACCCUACCACACAUCAGAGGAGACUUCUCUGGGAAACACUGACUUAAAAAUUAGGAUCUUAUAUUCAACAUCAAUAUCUUUCAAUUGAGAUUUAUAACUGCAAAGAAAAAGUUCUGUCUUUAUAACUGCUAAAUGGUUGAUUUUUAAGAAUCUUUAUACUGUUGUUGAAAGAAAAUAAUUAAAAAUACUUUCAACUUCCUAAAA